rnacentral:rRNA from 1 species
UACGGAGGGGGCUAGCGUUGUUCGGAAUUACUGGGCGUAAAGCGCGCGUAGGCGGCCAGGUAGGUCUGCUGUGAAAACUCGAGGCUCAACCUCGAGACGUCGGCGGAAACCAUCUGGCUAGAGUCCGGAAGAGGAGAGUGGAAUUCUCGGUGUAGCAGUGAAAUGCGCAGAUAUCAGGAGGAACACCAAUGGCGAAGGCAGCUCGCUGGGACGUGACUGACGCUGAGGAGCGAAAGCGUGGGGAGCGAACAGG